GUGGGGAAUAUUGGACAAUGGGCGCAAGCCUGAUCCAGCAAUGCCGCGUGGGUGAAGAAGGUCUUCGGAUCGUAAAGCCCUUUCGACAGGGACGAUGAUGACGGUACCAGUAGAAGAAGCCCCGGCUAACUUCGUGCCAGCAGCCGCGGUAAUACGAAGGGGGCUAGCGUUACUCGGAAUUACUGGGCGUAAAGGGCGCGUAGGCGGCUCUGUUAGUCAGGCGUGAAAUUCCUGGGCUUAACCUGGGGACUGCGCUUGAUACUGCAGGGCUUGAGGCCGAGAGAGGGUGGUGGAAUUCCCAGUGUAGAGGUGAAAUUCGUAGAUAUUGGGAAGAACACCGGUGGCGAAGGCGACCACCUGGCUCGGUUCUGACGCUGAGGCGCGACAGCGUGGGGAGCAAACAGGAUUAGAAACCCUAGUAGUCC
rnacentral:rRNA from 1 species